rnacentral:rRNA from 1 species
GUCUAUGGCCAUACCAUCCUUAACACGCCUGAUCUCAUCUGAUCUCGGAAGCUAAUCAGGGUCGGGCCUGGUUAGUAGUUGGAUGGAAGAAAAUCAAAAUAUCAUUUUCC